rnacentral:rRNA from 1 species
GGAAACGCGGGGUAAUUCCGGAUGCGCUCGCCGCCCGGGUAGGGGUGGUGAGGAAAGAUCUUCGGAUCGGCGCACGAGGCACCUGCGCCCGAUUAGCUGGUUGGUGGGGUAACGGCCUACCAAGGCGAUGAUCGGUAGCUGGUCUGAGAGGAUGAUCAGCCACACGGGGACUGAGACACGGCCCCGACUCCUACGGGAGGCAGCAGCAAGGAAUUUUCCGCAAUGGGCGCAAGCCUGACGGAGCAACGCCGCGUGCGGGAUGACGCCUUUCGGGGUGUAAACCGCUGUUCGUGGGGACGAAGCACUGACGGUACCCACGGAGGAAGGCCCGGCUAACUACGUGCCAGCAGCCGCGGUAAUACGUAGGGGCCGAGCGUUGUCCGGAGUUACUGGGCGUAAAGCGUGCGCAGGCGGCCUGCCGCGCCCGGCGUGAAAGCCCCCGGCUCAACCGGGGAGGGUCGUCGGGGACGGGCAGGCUUGAGGUCGGCAGGGGCUGGUGGAAUUCCCGGUGUAGUGGUGAAAUGCGUAGAGAUCGGGAGGAACACCCGUGGCGAAAGCGGCCAGCUGGGCCGGACCUGACGCUGAGCACGAAAGCGUGGGGAGCGAACGGGAUUAGAUACCCCGGUAGUCCACGCAGUAAACGAUGCAGACUAGGCGUGGGGGGACUGACCCCCUCCGUGCCGGAGCUAACGCGGGAAGUCUGCCGCUGGGGAGUACGGCCGCAAGGCUAAAACUCAAAGGAAUUGACGGGGGCCCGCACAAGCGGCGGAGCGUGUUGUUUAAUUCGAUGCUACACGAAGA